rnacentral:lncRNA from 1 species
AAAUUGAAAAUGUGAGAAGUUGUUUGAAUUUAAAACAUUUUUGAAAAACAUUGAUUGCAGCAAACUUGAAUUAAAGUGGUGAAAGUAUAAAGAAUAUAAUAAAAGCUCUAGGACUCGUAUGUAUGUAUGUAGCUUUAUCACUGAUAGACUCAAAAAUUGGUGAAAAUUUCUGUGACACGUUUCAAAAUUUGGCGCAACUAUUUAUUUAGGUAAAAAGUGCAAAUACGCACUUCAGAAAAGAGGAGAACACAACAACAUGAGAGAAAAAAAGACGGGCAGCUGUGAGUUGAGGAAAAAAUGAAAAAUAAAUGAAUGCACAAAAAAAAAAAAAUGUAAACAGCAGAAUGCAUCAAUGGGUAUGAAAGUGAAUAAAUGAAAAAGAAUACAUAUACAUAUAUACAUGUAUAUUUUGAAAGUCAAGGCAACUAACGAAAAAUUGACUUGAAGCAAAGAAAUAUAAAAAUUGGUAAUAAUACUAUGGAGUGCAGUGUGCGUAAAUUACAGCAAAAUAAAGCAGAGAAUGUAAGCAUUUAUUGACUUGAACUAAGCUUAAGUCAUGUAAUUUAUAUAUUAAAAAAUAUUAGAGAGAGUGAAAUUUAUGGACUAUGAAAAGUGUUCAAAAUUGGAUAUUAAAUGAAAAGAAUAAAAAAAUUAAAAUAAAAAACAUUGAUAAUUGGAAACCAAAGUGAAGCACAAACGACGAACGAACAUCACUAAAAUCCAAAAAAAAUCUUCCGAACUUAAACAUAACGAAAACGACAAAAAUAUUUAAUUUAUAAGCAGCAGAUACAUUUGCAGGUUAGAAUUUAAAUUUAUGUUACUUUAAAGUGAAUUAAAAAAAUGUGCAGAAAAACGACUAAAGGACAAGUGUAUUUGCGACAUUUCAAAACUACUGUCCGGUCGCAGAUCAUAUAAAAACACAUUACAAAAUUCUAUUUUUUUUUUUCAAACAGAAAAAAGUUUACGAAAAUAAAUAAUUAGUAAUAAUUUUCGGCGAAUAAAUAAUAAUUGAUGAGACAAAUGUAGUGAGUAAAAAAUGUAGUUAUCAAUUAAUUGAAAACAAAUCAAGUAAUUAUAAUAAGUGUCAUUUACAGCUAACAUCUAAAGUGUGUUUACAUACACAUAUUACAUGAUGAUUACAUACGAUCAUUAAUUAUUAAAUCAAUAAACAUAAAGAAUUCAUGAUAGUUGUUAUUGGCAAAUCAUGCACACACACACACAUUGCAAAAUAAAAAUAAUACAUAAAUACGCGUAAACAAAAAAAGUAAUUAUUAAAUUGUUAAUAUCAAAUUUCGCAGCAAAACAAAUAGUCAAAUAUUUGUUUAAGCCCAAUUGUUAAAUUGUUUCUUUUUGCAACAAACAAAAAUUAUUGAAUCGUACUUAAAAAAAAAAUCAUCAAAUAAAUAUUUCAAAAUCCUGCAUAAAUCAACGCCAUUAAAAAUCAACAAAAAAUGUUGCAAAAAAUUAUGUAAAAAAAAAUUGCAAUAGCGAAAUAAAUAGUUGCAUAUUUGUAGCACAUAAAGUAUUAACCAAAAAAAAAAAAAAAAAAUGCUUAUGAAAAACUCAACUUCUCAAUGUCUUUCUAUGGAAAAUCCUCGCAUUUAAAAAACUGCAUAAUAUAUGCAAUUAAACUUAAGUAAAUAUAAACAAAACCGAUUGUCAUGAUACAAAUUCCUCAAAUAUUUAGCAUAGAAAGUGAAAAAAAUACAUACAUAUUUAAACAAACCGCAACUAAAUCAGCAGCAACGUACACGCACAUAUAUAUUUAAGCAUAAACGAAAUACCCAAUAAGUACAUAUUAAAUAAUAAUAAUUGUCAUUAAACAGCAUUUUACGGUGUUUUCCAAAAGUCAUAAGCAAAUAAAUAAAUAAAACAAUCUACUUGACCCAACAAUUUCAUAUUGUGUCAUGCACUUAAGCGAGCAUUAAAUUAAAAACAUUAAAUAUAAUAACAAAUAAAGAAUCCCGCAUUUUAUUGAAAAAAUACUCCUUCAAAUAACUACAUACAUAAAUAUAAUAAUUGUGAAUUACAAACAUAUGAAUAAUGUUCGUUACAUAAAUUACAUACAUGAACAAACGGUGUUGUGUAAAGCAGGUUUAUAGUAAAUUUGAAAUAUAAAAAAAAUUAAAGCUGAUUCAUAUAUUUGAAGGCGCAACAAUAACAUUGCGAGUAGAUUGAGAAUUUUUGGAGACAGUUGACGCUCAUUGCCAUUCAUCAUGUUACAGAUCACUGCCAUGAUUAAUCAAUAAUUAAACUAAUAGCGAAAUGUGAAACCAAAAAUAAAUACUUAA